AUUGAUUACAAUACUUUAAAGAGAAGUGAUCGAUUAUUGAUUAUAUACUUUAUUGAUUAUUGAUUAUUGAUUAUUAUAUGCGUCAUCGAUUAUUAUUUAGUCAUAGCAAUUAAUGACCAUCAUUGAUUACUAUAUGCGUCAUCGAUUAUUAUUUAGUCAUAGCAAUUAAUGACCAUCAUUGAUUAUUAUAGACGUCAUCGA